ensembl:lncRNA
CAAGAACAAAGGUCAUAGGAGCCCAUUGAAGAGGUAGCUGACUGAAUGUAGGAGGGCUCUUCAUCUGUUAGAACAAGAGACAAACUACCGGAGACCUGAAGAAUGGAUAAGAGUUGUCCAGAGUGGGAAAAGAAUGAUCCAAGAAGAAUGUGCCAUGUCUAGGAGGCAAGUUAGAACAUUUCCUACCAGUUCAGUAUAGGCUUUGAGAGCUGGGGGAGAGGCAGGGGCCUUCCCAUGGAGAGCUGUAAAUGCUGUACUUAAGAGUUUGGAAUUUAUUCUGAAAGCAAUAACAAGCCAAUGAAGCAGGGGAGAAACAUAAUUAGGUUGUGCAUUAGAAAGGAAAUUCUGGUGGUGAUUUGAAUUGAAGAGCAACAAUAUAUUACAGCAGGAGAUCAGUUAAGAACAUUCCAAUAUCCUAGAAAGAGAUCAUGAUGGCCUAGAUCAUGGGCUGUAAAUAUAGAUGAGUUGAGGGAGAGAGAUUGGUGAUGUCCUCCCAAGUGCUUGGCUUGAGCAACUGCUGGUAGUGCUGUAACUUGGGUAGAGAAUAAAGAAAGUAACUUCCAAUAACUCCCUAAUUUCUAAUUGGUUUCAAAUUGCUCUUAUAUUUUUUUCCUGUCAUCCCCUUUCUUCUCCCUUUCCCCAACUUCCAGAGGAUGGAGACCAGGAGAGCAAAGCCUGUCCUGUCUUUAUUGUGCAAGGGUAUAGACAAAAAGACUUCAAAAAGGAUCUUCUAGUUUCAAGGUUCUUGAUUUCUCUGUUCCUAAAAUAGUGACUAGAUGGAGGUAGAGAGAAGGGUAGGGGGGUGAGGGAGUGUAUAGAGAAAAAUCAGCUGAUGGAAUAAGAAGUUAUUUGGACAGCAGUUGGGAAACAAUUGCAGCCCCAGCCUCCUUACCCCUUGGUAACUCAAACCCUGACCUGCAGCGUCCCUGCAGUUCCCAGUCUCUCCAUGUCAAAACCCUCCUGGUGAUGGCUGACCUUGGCCAUGGUUGCUGCAGCUUGGUUGGAAGGCCUAUCACACUUCACAGGAGAUUGCCACACAAAGAACCAUUGAGAAGAGGAAAUCUAAAGUAUUUUCUUGCACUCUUUAUGGCUGGCUGAGUCUUUAAUAGCCAACUUUUUCCAUGCAAAAGGAAGUUCACUGAAGAGAAGUAAGGGUGAAGACCGCAAUGAUAAAAUCUUCCCUUAAAUAAAAGAAGCCCUUUGGAUCUUUAGGUGGUGAAAGAUGAUCUUUCGAUUUGUGAGACCCCUGACAUUUUGUAAUUACAGGUUAAUAUAAAGACUGCUAUAUUUAGGCAGGUUCCACUUAUAAAGAUAAUAGUAAUAUAAUGGCUAAAGAUUCAGCAAAGGCUGGCAAUUAGCAAAUAUAUUCACUGUGCUUUAGUUUAUACUUUCAUUCCCAAAGGCAAUUAAUCACUUAAGUAAAUAUUUUAGCCUAAUUAUAGAUAAUAAUAAACAAAAGUGUACUCACAUUUUCUCAAGUUUGUCUGCAUUCGAAGAGCUCACCAAACAUUUGUUAUUGCCUCUAAUCACAGUGAGAGCCUAACUUAGGUAACUAAUUGACCUUAUGAAUAGAAGAUCUUAAGAAUAAAACAAACAAAUUUAAUAAAGUUGCAGGAUACAAAAUUAAUGCAAAGAAGCCAGUAGAGUUUCCAUAUACUAACAAUAAACUAUCUGACAAAGAAAUCAAGAA